CAAUAGCGUAUAUUAAAGUUGUUGCAGUUAAAAAGCUCGUAGUUGGAUUUGUGGCGUACGGUGUGUUCCGGGCACUUGUUGUCUGAGUAACCUGCGGUUGCCAUCCUUGGGUGGAACCUGUGUGGCAUUAGGUUGUCGUGCAGGGGAUGCCCAUCAUUUACUGUGAAAAAAUUAGAGUGUUCAAAGCAGGCUUAUGCCGUUGAAUAUAUUAGCAUGGAAUAAUGAGAUAGGACUUUUUUGCUAUUUUGUUGGUUUGCGCAAGAAGGUAAUGAUUAAUAGGGACAGUUGGGGGUAUUCGUAUUCCAUUGUCAGAGGUGAAAUUCUUGGAUUUUUGGAAGACGAACUACUGCGAAAGCAUUUACCAAGGAUGUUUUCAUUAA
rnacentral:rRNA from 1 species